AAAGAAUGGAGGAGUCGGAACCCGAACGGAAGCGGGCUCGCACCGACGAGGUGCCUGCCGGAGGAAGCCGCUCCGAGGCGGAAGAUGAGGACGACGAGGACUACGUGCCCUAUGUGCCGUUACGGCAGCGCCGGCAGCUACUGCUCCAGAAGCUGCUGCAGCGAAGACGCAAGGGAGCUGCGGAGGAAGAGCAGCAGGACAGCGGUAGUGAACCCCGGGGAGAUGAGGACGACAUCCCGCUAGGCCCUCAGUCCAACGUCAGCCUCCUGGAUCAGCACCAGCACCUUAAAGAGAAGGCUGAAGCCCGCAAAGAGUCUGCCAAGGAGAAGCAGCUGAAGGAAGAAGAGAAGAUCCUGGAGAGUGUUGCCGAGGGCCGAGCAUUGAUGUCGGUGAAGGAGAUGGCUAAGGGCAUUACGUAUGAUGACCCCAUCAAAACCAGCCAUCCUGAGAGGCCUGAAGAAGAAAGGCAUUCACCACCCAACACCCAUCCAGAUCCAGGGCAUCCCCACCAUUCUAUCUGGCCGUGACAUGAUAGGCAUCGCUUUCACGGGUUCAGGCAA
rnacentral:sRNA from 1 species